rnacentral:rRNA from 1 species
UGCAGCAGGCGCGAAACCUUUACACUGCACGCAAGUGCGAUAAGGGGACCCCAAGUGCGAGGGCAUAUAGUCCUCGCUUUUCUCGACUGUAAGGCGGUCGAGGAAUAAGAGCUGGGCAAGACCGGUGCCAGCCGCCGCGGUAAUACCGGCAGCUCAAGUGAUGACCGAUAUUAUUGGGCCUAAAGCGUCCGUAGCCGGCCACGAAGGUUCAUCGGGAAAUCCGCCAGCUCAACUGGCGGGCGUCCGGUGAAAACCACGUGGCUUGGGACCGGAAGGCUCGAGGGGUACGUCCGGGGUAGGAGUGAAAUCCCGUAAUCCUGGACGGACCACCGAUGGCGAAAGCACCUCGAGAAGACGGAUCCGACGGUGAGGGACGAAAGCUAGGGUCUCGAACCGGAUUAGAUACCCGGGUAGUCCUAGCUGUAAACGAUGCUCGCUAGGUGUGACACAGGCUACGAGCCUGUGUUGUGCCGUAGGGAAGCCGAGAAGCGAGCCGCC